GAUGAACGCUGGCGGCGUGCUUAACACAUGCAAGUCGAACGGAAAGGCUCCUGCUUGCAGGGGUACUCGAGUGGCGAACGGGUGAGUAACACGUGGGUGAUCUGCCCUGCACUUCGGGAUAAGCCUGGGAAACUGGGUCUAAUACCGGAUAGGACCACAUUUUGGAUGGUGUGGUGGAAAGUUUUUCGGUGUGGGAUGAGCUCGCGGCCUAUCAGCUUGUUGGUGGGGUAGUGGCCUACCAAGGCGUCGACGGGUAGCCGGCGUGAGAGGGUGUACGGCCACAUUGGGACUGAGAGACGGCCCAGACUCCUACGGGAGGCAGCAGGGGGGAAUAGUGCACAAUGGGCGCAAGCUUGAUGCAGCAACGCCGCGGGGGGGAUGACGGCCUUCGGGUUGUAAACCCCUUUCGCCGGGGACGAAGCGAGAGUGACGGUAAUGGGUAAAGAAGCACCGGCUAACUACGUG
rnacentral:rRNA from 1 species